UGCAACAGUAGGAUCAUUUCUAUAGUUUACGUCCCUCUUUGACUCUUCUAAAGAGCCACUGAAUCCAACUUGGUUGAUGAGAUAUAUACCUUUGUGCCCUAGAGUGAGGUUUUUGUUUAGCUUGUCCACAACUCUUUGCAGUUUGGUCAUCUACAAAUUUUGCCUUUUCUUCAUAAUUUGAACUUCGGUUCAUGUUAUUUCAAAGGAGCGAUGAUCUCGACCCAGUUUAUGUACUUCUUCGGAAGGGAUAGACCUUGGGUGGGCGCAAAUGGCAGUCUGACAAGU
rnacentral:snoRNA from 9 species